UCCUUUGUGUGUGUGUGGUGUGCGUGUGUGUGUGGUUGUGUUGUGUGUGUGUGUGAGAGGUCUGUUGUGUGUGUAAAUAAACAUAAACUACACACACACACACACAAACCACACACACACACACACACACACAUCUAUAUAUAAUAUAUAUAUAUCUAUAUAUAUAUAGAUAUAUAUAUAUAUAUAUAUAU